GAUCUCCUACGGGGGGCAGCAGUGGGGAAUAUUGCACAAUGGGGGAAACCCUGAUGCAGCGACGCCGCGUGAGUGAAGAAGUAAUUCGUUAUGUAAAGCUCUAUCAGCAGGGAAGAAAAUGACGGUACCUGGGUAAGAAGCCCCGGCUAACUACGUGCCAGCAGCCGCGGUAAUACGUAGGGGGCAAGCGUUAUCCGGAUUUACUGGGUGUAAAGGGAGCGUAGACGGCAGGGCAAGUCUGGAGUGAAAGGCGGGGGCUCAACCUGUGGCCUGCAUUUGAA
rnacentral:rRNA from 1 species